CCUACGGGUGGCAGCAGUGAGGAAUAUUGGUCAAUGGACGAGAGUCUGAACCAGCCAAGUAGCGUGAAGGAUGACUGCCCUAUGGGUUGUAAACUUCUUUUAUAUGGGAAUAAACUGUUCCACGUGUGGGCUUUUGUAUGUACCAUAUGAAUAAGGAUCGGCUAACUCCGUGCCAGCAGCCGCGGUAAUACGGAGGAUCCGAGCGUUAUCCGGAUUUAUUGGGUUUAAAGGGUGCGUAGGUGGAUUGUUAAGUCAGUUGUGAAAGUUUGCGGCUCAACCGUAGAAUUGCAGUUGAUACUGGCAGUCUUGAGUGCAGUAGAGGUGGGCGGAAUGCGUGGUGUAGCGGUGAAAUGCUUAGAUAUCACGAAGAACUCCGAUUGCGAAGGCAGCUCACUGGACUGCAACUGACACUGAGGCUCGAAAGUGUGGGUAUCAAACAGGAUUAGAUACCCGAGUAGUC
rnacentral:rRNA from 1 species